UGGGGAAUUUUGGACAAUGGGCGAAAGCCUGAUCCAGCAAUGCCGCGUGUGUGAAGAAGGCCUUCGGGUUGUAAAGCACUUUUGUCCGGAAAGAAAUCCUUGGCUCUAAUACAGUCGGGGGAUGACGGUACCGGAAGAAUAAGCACCGGCUAACUACGUGCCAGCAGCCGCGGUAAUACGUAGGGUGCAAGCGUUAAUCGGAAUUACUGGGCGUAAAGCGUGCGCAGGCGGUUUGCUAAGACCGAUGUGAAAUCCCCGGGCUCAACCUGGGAACUGCAUUGGUGACUGGCAGGCUAGAGUAUGGCAGAGGGGGGUAGAAUUCCACGUGUAGCAGUGAAAUGCGUAGAGAUGUGGAGGAAUACCGAUGGCGAAGGCAGCCCCCUGGGCCAAUACUGACGCUCAUGCACGAAAGCGUGGGGAGCAAACAGGAUUAGAUACCCUGGUAGUCCACGCCCUAAACGAUGUCAACUAGUUGUUGGGGAUUCAUUCCUUAGUAACGUAGCUAACGCGUGAAGUUGACCGCCUGGGGAGUACGGUCGCAAGAUUAAAACUCAAAGGAAUUGACGGGGUCAUAGCGUUUCCU
rnacentral:rRNA from 1 species